UUUAACGGUCUUCUCAGCAGAAGUGGUAAAACAUAAGCUUUAUCAUUUCCAGAAUUAUCCCUAAAUCUGACAACCCACUUAUUUAGACGUUUGGGUGUUAAAUAACAUGUUUCAGCAUCAUUAUUAAUUGUUAAGGAUGGCUUUACAGCACUAGACGUAUUGGCUGUUGAGUGGCUCCAAUCAGGGCUAAUACACUCUGGCCAGUAGGAAGUUUACAUGUCGGUGUGAUGUACCUCAGCCAGUUCAUUGAGCAAAGUGGUUGGAAGCUCCCAAAAUGAUGCGAGGCACGCUUCGGGAGAGCACACGGAGAAGGCGACGGCGCGUCUCCUCGGGAAGGUUGUUCACAACCGGCUCCGGCGGCAGCGGGCGAGCCGGGCAUCCGGUCGAGAAGGGGAGGAGUACCGCUGCGCCGGCGUGUGGCAAGAUCGAGGAGGAGCUUGAGGAGGACGUCCAUAGAGGGUCCGUCGCGGCGGGGCGAGCACGAGUUCGAGGAGGCGCGGUUGGCGGAAUCCCUUGCGCAUCUGGCGGAACCGGCCGGAGAAGGAGUGGCCAGCCCGAGCGAUGGAGGUGCCUGCAGCAGUCACCACGUCUUGGGCGGCCGAUUCGAGUGGUGGCGGCGGGUGGAGGUGAGGCGGGCGCGACCGGAGACGGGCUGGCGCGGGGCGAAUCCGCGGCGGCGGCGACCGGAGGCGCUGGGCGCGGCCGGAGAUUAGCCGGCGCGGGGCGGAUCCACGGCGGCAAUGACGGGCGCGGCCAGAGACGGGCCGGCCGCCUCAAGUGACGGACAGGUGUGGUCGACCUCUUCCUCCUCCUACCUGCUCGACAGGUGAAGCAUGAACAGCUGGUACAGGAUGUCCACCCAGAUCUUGUUUCUCUAGGCCUACAAGGUGUUCGAUAAAAUUCCAAGGAUGUUUGGGGAGGAUUGAUCUCUGUAAGCUAUGUGAUUUAGU